GUGGCAUUUAUGGCCGAUGCCCAUACACUUGCUAGAGGGAGAUUAAUGGUCAUUUUAGAUUUUCAGAUUUCCUUCUCUCUUUUCAUUUUUGUCUUGACCACCCUAGAACCAAACACUAUUUUCUUCUCAUCCAAAUACUCAUUUCGUGCAAGAAUAGAAGGGAGAAUCGUGAAUACUUUGUUGGAAAGGAUUGCAUGUUGUGACAGGUCUAGAAGACUAUGAUAGAGAAGUCAAGCAAGAGGAUCUCCCAAUAGUUAAGGAGGCCCCAAAGCUUCCCUGGCAUCCUGCGGAUCCUUCGUUAGUAGAGCGGCUAGAAGUAGCUGAGCAAUUUAUCUAUGAGACUUUAGAACUUUUUGUUGAUAUCUAGAAAAUUAUGAAGAAGAAUGACUUUUAGACUGUAGUGACAUUGAUAUACUUUAAUGGUUUUGUUUCUGGAUAAUGGGUCUAGAUUUCAACCCCUUGCUCUGUAUUGGAAGAUUUUUGAACUAAUUUACUUUGAGAUUAUUAGUACUUUGUUUGGUACCAUAUUGAAAUUGCUCAAAUA